CCUUCGGGUCGUAAACCUCUGUCACCGGGGGAAGAAACGCUUCGAGUUAAUAGCUUGAAGCCUGACUUAACCCGGAGAGGAAGCAGUGGCUAACUCUGUGC
rnacentral:rRNA from 1 species